CACGUAGGGUCCAAGCGUUGUCCGGAUUUAUUGGGCGUAAAGAGCUCGUAGGCGGCUUGGUAAGUCGAGUGUGAAAACUCCAGGCUCAACCUGGAGACGCCACUCGAGACUGCUAUGGCUAGAGUCCGGUAGGGGACCACGGAAUUCCCGGUGUAGCGGUGAAAUGCGCAGAUAUCAGGAGGAACACCAAUGGCGAAGGCAGCUCGCUGGGACGGUACUGACGCUGAGACGCGAAAGCGUGGGGAGCAAACAGG
rnacentral:rRNA from 1 species